UACGUAGGGGGCAAGCGUUGUCCGGAAUCACUGGGUGUGAAGCGCACGUAGGCGGCUUGGUAAGUCUGAGGUGAAAUCCACGAGCUCAACUCGUGAACUGCCUUGGAAACUGCCGAGCUAGAGGUCCAGAGGGGAAAGUGGAAUUUCGGGUGUAGCGGUGAAAUGCGUAGAUAUCCGAGAGAACACCAAUGGCGAAGGCAGCUUUCUGGCUGGUUCCUGACGCUGAGGUGCGAAAGCUAGGGUAGCGAACGGG
rnacentral:misc_RNA from 1 species